rnacentral:rRNA from 1 species
AGAGUUUGAUCAUGGCUCAGAUUGAACGCUGGCGGCAGGCCUAACACAUGCAAGUCGAGCGCGAAAGGCUUUCGGGCUGAGUAGAGCGGCGGACGGGUGAGUAACGCGUAGGAAUCUACCUGGUAGUGGGGGACAACUUGGGGAAACUCAAGCUAAUACCGCAUACGCCCUACGGGGGAAAGCGGGGGACCUUCGGGCCUCGCGCUAUCGGAUGAGCCUGCGUAGGAUUAGCUAGUUGGUAGGGUAAAGGCCUACCAAGGCGACGAUCCUUAACUGGUCUGAGAGGAUGAUCAGUCACACUGGAACUGAGACACGGUCCAGACUCCUACGGGAGGCAGCAGUGGGGAAUAUUGGACAAUGGGCGCAAGCCUGAUCCAGCCAUGCCGCGUGUGUGAAGAAGGCCUUCGGGUUGUAAAGCACUUUCACUUGGGAAGAAAAGUUGGUCGUUAAUAGCGGCCAGCCGUGACAUUACCUUGAGAAGAAGCACCGGCUAACUCCGUGCCAGCAGCCGCGGUAAUACGGAGGGUGCGAGCGUUAAUCGGAAUUACUGGGCGUAAAGCGCGCGUAGGCGGUUUGUUAAGUCAGCUGUGAAAGCCCCGGGCUCAACCUGGGAACUGCAGUUGAUACUGGCCGACUAGAGUACGAGAGAGGGAGGUAGAAUUCCAUGUGUAGCGGUGAAAUGCGUAGAUAUAUGGAGGAAUACCGGUGGCGAAAGCGGCCUCCUGGCUCGAUACUGACGCUGAGGUGCG